AUUGAACGCUGGCGGCAUGCUUUACACAUGCAAGUCGAACGGCAGCACAGAGAAGCUUGCUUCUUGGGUGGCGAGUGGCGAACGGGUGAGUAAUAUAUCGGAACGUACCGAGUAAUGGGGGAUAACUAAUCGAAAGAUUAGCUAAUACCGCAUAUUCUCUGAGGAGGAAAGCAGGGGACCUUCGGGCCUUGCGUUAUUCGAGCGGCCGAUAUCUGAUUAGCUAGUUGGUGGGGUAAAGGCCUACCAAGGCGACGAUCAGUAGCGGGUCUGAGAGGAUGAUCCGCCACACUGGGACUGAGACACGGCCCAGACUCCUACGGGAGGCAGCAGUGGGGAAUUUUGGACAAUGGGCGAAAGCCUGACCCAGCCAUGCCGCGUGUCUGAAGAAGGCCUUCGGGUUGUAAAGGACUUUUGUCAGGGAAGAAAAGGCUGUUGCUAAUAUAAAUAGCUGAUGACGGUACCUGAAGAAUAAGCACCGGCUAACUACGUG
rnacentral:rRNA from 1 species